CAGCCUUAGGCAGCGGUAACCAUGGACACCUAGGCUUGCGUUACACAGGCUCAACCCUGUGUUCCACAGCCAGGACAUCACGGCUCCAACAAUGCCUAUACACUGUUUACUAAACCGUGGAACAUGCACUGUCAUUGCACACAGAUAGAAACAACCUGCCGGGGAACAGUCUAGCAAAGCUGCCACCCACAGAUAGAUGAGCUAGAUAAACCUAUAUAUUCCAUGAUAAAAUGCUAUUAUAUUAACCCCCAGCUGCUGUCCAUGGAACGCUCUUGGCCACAAUUUCCAAAGUGUCCAGUGAAGUCACAAUAUUGAAAGUGCUUGUCGAACAUACAUAUACAUAAACAUACUGUACACAUAACAUUGCAGCCGCAAUGAAGCCGUGGAUAGGUAUGCUUUCUGACACUCUGAUGACACAAUAGAAUGUUGUGUAAGCAUUGGCCGCGGGUGGUGCAUGAGCACUGUGGUGGAGCGCACGCCGGAACUGUGGACAGCAUGGCUGAUCACCUGCAGUGAUUUUGGUAAUUAUGCACUUUAAAGCUAGUAUCUGGCUGUUUGUUUGUGGAUGGUUCUUGGCUGCAAUGGAGGUCUUUGGCAUGGUGCAGAAGACUUGAACGGUCAUUUCAUGACCGAAGUCGACAGACUGCAACUAACAGUAUGGAUAGUGCAAUGUGUAGCAUUACUGUCUCACAGCUAUGAGGUUAUGAGUUAGAUUCCCACCAUAGCCCUAACUAUGUGGACUUUGUAUAUUCUCUCCCUGCUUGCAUGGGUUUCCUCUGGGUGCUCCGGUUUGAUUUCAUCCCACAAUCCAAAAAAAUACUGCAAUUCAGAAAAGAAAAGGCGAUGAAAGAAGAAUGUUUGAUCAUUACCAUCUCCAAUGCUUGAUUAACAUUUUCAGAAUUAAAGAAUGAAUUUACAAAUCAAUCCUUACUUCCUUCUGAUCUAGUUUUUAAGUAAUGAAAACUUUCUUGGUCACUUUAUGAGGUCAUACAGUUUACCACUGCAGUGUCAUUUUAUUUCCUAGAUGUGCCAUGUUUGAAGUUGAAUUGCCACAUUUGUGACGUCCACUGCUGUCACUUAGCUUAGUCAGUCAGCUAUAGUAGCUCGGUGCAACUUUUAUGCCUAAAGCGGAUGAAAACAGUAUUGUGAGCUGUGAGGUGUUCAAAAUUGACUGGAAAUGAGUGGACAUUAAUGUUAUUGAGGUUAAUAAUACUGUAGGGAUAAAAACAUGCCAAAAUUUUGUGAUUUUUGCAGCUUUUAUGAUUUUAAAAAAAUUAAAAAUUAAAAAACAAAACCGGCAAGGGCAGUUUGGCAAAACCAAUACAGAUCCAAAACAUGAAGGCGAUACAGAUCCAAAA